AUGGGCUCCAGGCUCCUCUGCUGUGUGACUCUCUGCCUCCUCGGAUCAGGUCUGGUGGAUUCUGGAGUCACCCAGACCCCCAAGUACCUGAUCAAAUCAAGAAAGCAGCAGUCGACUCUGAGAUGUUCCCCUGAAUCUGGACACCGCUUUGUGUACUGGUACCAACAGGCCCUGGGCCAGGGCCCCCAGUUCCUCAUUCAGUAUUAUGAUGGGAAAGAGUAUCUAAAAGGAAACAUAUCGGAUCGAUUCUCAGUAAAACAGUUGAGUGGCUCUCGCUCUGAGCUGAACUUGGGCUCCUUGGAGCUGACGGACUCUGCCCUGUAUCUCUGUGCCAGCAGCCAAGACACAGCCCUGCAUGAUCAGGCCUAG